AUUCCCUUAGUAACUGCGAGUGAAGAGGGAAAAGCUCAAAUUUAAAAUCUGGCAGUGUUUCACUGUCCGAGUUGUAACCUAGAGAAGUGUAACCUGUGCUGGACCGUGUAUAAGUCUCCUGGAAUGGAGCAUCAUAGAGGGUGAGAAUCCCGUCUUUGACAUGGACUACCAGUGCAUUGUGGUUGCGCUCUCAACGAGUCGAGUUGUUUGGGAAUGCAGCUCUAAAUGGGUGGUAAAUUCCAUCUAAAGCUAAAUAUUGGCGAGAGACCGAUAGCGAACAAGUACCGUGAGGGAAAGAUGAAAAGAACUUUGGAAAGAGAGUUAAACAGUAUGUGAAAUUGUUGAAAGGGAAACGUUUGAAGUCAGUCGCGUUGGUUGGGGAUCAGCCUGACAUUGUUGGGUGUACUUCCUGGUUGACGGGCCAACAUCAGUUUUGACUGCCAGAAAAAGGCCAAAGGAAUGUGGCACCUUUGGGUGUGUUAUAGCCCUUGGUCGUAUAUGGUGGUUGGGACUGAGGAAAGCAGCGUGCCGAAAGGCCGGGUUUCGACCACGUUCACGCUGAGGAUGUUGGCAUAAUGGCUUUAAGCGACCCGUCUUGAAACACGGACCAAGGAGUCUAACAUGCGUGCGAGUGUUUGGGUGGAAAACCCUUACGCGUAAUGAAAGUGAAAGUUGAGAUCCCUGUCGCGGGGAGCAUCGACGCCCGGACCAGAACUUUUGGGACGGAUCUGCGGUAGAGCAUGUAUGUUGGGACCCGAAAGAUGGUGAACUAUGCCUGAAUAGGGUGAAGCCAGAGGAAACUCUGGUGGAGGCUCGUAGCGAUUCUGACGUGCAAAUCGAUCGUCAAA
rnacentral:rRNA from 1 species